rnacentral:sRNA from 1 species
UCUUUAAACUGUUAGCUGAACAAGAAGACAGAAAUGAUGGUUCCGAAGAUGGCAGUAUCAAGAAGCAGGCUCUGCUGAAUAAAGCCAGAGAUUGUCUCUAUGAUGUGUUGGACAGACUUGGCGGAGACAAGAGCCAUCAAUUGAACACUCUGGUGUCCAAUGAUUUGGAUGAUAUAGAGACACUUAUCCAUGGUGCUGAAUAUGAAGAGAGAGAAGCCAGCACCAGUAGCUCUUUCCAUACACCCUCCAAGUUCCCCAAUGAAUUAAGGGCUACACCUAGCACCAAUGGUCUGGUCCACAGCACCCCCAGGAACUUCUUGUUGGAGGCUGAUGAACAGGAUUCUGG